rnacentral:rRNA from 1 species
GCCUAGCCAUAAACUUAAAUAAUUAAGUAACGAAAUUAUUUGCCAGAGAACUACUAGCUACAGCUUAAAACUCAAAGGACUUGGCGGUACUUUAUAUCCACC